UACGUAGGGUGCGAGCGUUAAUCGGAAUUACUGGGCGUAAAGUGUGCGCAGGCGGCCGCGCAAGUCGAGUGUGAAAGCCCCGAGCUUAACUUGGGAAUUGCGCUCGAAACUACGUGGCUGGAGUGUGGCAGAGGAAGGUGGAAUUCCAGGUGUAGCGGUGAAAUGCGUAGAGAUCUGGAGGAACACCUAUGGCGAAGGCAGCUCGCUGGGACGUUACUGACGCUGAGACGCGAAAGCGUGGGGAGCAAACAGG
rnacentral:rRNA from 1 species